rnacentral:rRNA from 1 species
GACGAACGCUGGCGGCGUGCUUAACACAUGCAAGUCGAACGGUAAGGCCCUUCGGGGUACACGAGUGGCGAACGGGUGAGUAACACGUGGGUGAUCUGCCCUGCACUUUGGGAUAAGACUGGGAAACUGGGUCUAAUACCGAAUACACCCUGCUGGUCGCAUGGCCUGGGGGGGGAAAGCUUUUGCGGUGUGGGAUGGGGCCGCGGCCUAUCAGCUUGUUGGUGGGGUGAUGGCCUACCAAGGCGACGACGGGUAGCCGGCCUGAGAGGGUGACCGGCCACACUGGGACUGAGAUACGGCCCAGACUCCUACGGGAGGCAGCAGUGGGGAAUAUUGCACAAUGGGCGCAAGCCUGAUGCAGCGACGCCGCGUGAGGGAUGACGGCCUUCGGGUUGUAAACCUCUUUCAAUAGGGACGAAGCGCAAGUGACGGUACCUAUAGAAGAAGGACCGGCCAACUACGUGCCAGCAGCCGCCGUAA